rnacentral:pre_miRNA from 1 species
CGGCGGAGGCCGGAUCCUGGGCUGUGUCCCGGCGCCCUGUGUUCCCAGUCUGCGCUCUUGGAUUGGAGCUCCCGGCCUGCAGCCCCCU